UCAUAUGAAUAUGAGUAUCCGAGUAACUGCUGUUUUGUGCUGUUGUGCUGAUUGCUAGCUUAGCUUUGGUUACUGAGAGUUCAAGAGUUGCAGAAAGUUAUUGACUGUUUUCAGAGUUGCAGAGAGUUGCAGAGAGUUGCAGAGAGUAAGUUGAUCUGCUUAAGAAGGCUGAAGUCAAGUAGUUUUUAAAUUAAAGCUACAAUGGAAUGAAACAGAUCUGCAUAAUUGGGAACAUAAUUGAACG